rnacentral:rRNA from 1 species
GAUCCUGGCUCAGGAUGAACGCUAGCUACAGGCUUAACACAUGCAAGUCGAGGGGAAACGAUAUUGGAAGCUUGCUUCCGAUAGGCGUCGACCGGCGCACGGGUGAGUAACGCGUAUCCAACCUGCCCACCACUUGGGGAUAACCUUGCGAAAGUAAGACUAAUGCCCAAUGAUAUCCCACGAAGGCAUCCGAAUGGGAUUAAAGAUUUAUCGGUGAUGGAUGGGGAUGCGUCUGAUUAG